UUGAUCUGCAACAUAAGCCAAUUUUGCGUUGCGUUACACGUUUUCACAAUUGCCUUUCUGUAGAGCAAGACGCGACGACAACGACGACGAUAACGACGAUCGGCCGCGCUUCCGAGUUCUCGGCGGGGCUCGCUUUGGCCGGCCUCGGCUUUGGUGUUAUGCGGAGAGCCGGUUAUUAAUUAUGCGAUGUGCCAGUGUAAUGUACCAAGUAACGCAUCCUGUAGGGGCUGCGACAUGAGCAUUACCGGAGUCACUGACCUAACUCGUUUCAACAUCAGUUCGUUGUUCCUUCGGAACACGGGUUCUUCUUCUCACCGCCGUAUACAAUAAUACAAACGCCGUCUUAUUUUAGGGAAUACGCAGAAAAAUCCGGCGAAAGGGCCACGAUCUUUUCACGGUACAGAACGAUUAUUAUUAUUGUCAUUUGCAGUCGUUGCAAAUUUUCUCGAAGUAUUACUUGAUAUAUUUGACUAUUCGCCGGAAGAUUGCAACGGAAUUUCGAUUCGAUGGGAACGGAACACUCUGUAUAUAAAAGGGCAGACCGACCACUAUGCGCUUCUAUUCUGGCGAACGGUGACCUGCCUAUACGCAGGAUUGCCUAAAAAGGAAAGGUUUCCAAGGAUGGACCGUCGGCAUUCAUCUUCCUGCAGCAUGCAUAUUCCGUUAGAUAUACGGUGCCUCGUAUCGUGAUGCGCUUCGAGGGAAUCAGUAAUAUAGAGGGUGUUCCGUGCAUUUCACGUCUACGAAUUUUCGACUUUCAUGCUUCUUCGGAAGAUUUUACGCUAUUUUUAUAAAUUUAUAUAUUUCGUCCAAUGUCACUUUGAAACUUUAUCUAAAUUUACUUCUACGAUUAAACAAAAAGUAAGAUUUAUUUGCACACACUGAAAAAAAAAAUAAUUGAGUUAAUAAGAUUUUGCUAAAACCAACAAAAUUCUUUGAAGCAAGUGUUUAGUCAAUUAACCAAAUUAUAUAAUUGCUGCGAUAAGAGUUAUCAAUUGAUUCAAUAAUUGCGACUUGGUCAGUAAUUAUAUUAACGCAAGUUAUUGUCGCUAAUGCGACGUUCAAUAGAUACAAUAUUUCUUUGAAGAGACGUGUGUCGAUUUUGCCGAUUCAACAGCUUUUUUCUCAGUGCAUUUCUGAAGUUUUUUGAAGAUUUCUUGGUUUCUAUUAUUUGUAUCUGAAGGAGUGUCGAUUGUCUUGGUAAUUUGAACAUGGAAGAGAUUGAAAAGUCAGGCUGAUUAGAGAAUUCGUGGAAAAAGUGGCACGGCAAGUGCGAGACAUCAUCCGCGCGCGAAUAUUGCAUUUAAUUUGCAUAUAUGCGUUUAAUUAUAAUAAUAUACUGUCUGACUCGGCAUCUGGCAUCCGCGCGAGAGUGUUUUUACGGAGGAUACAGUUUCGGAUAUUCGGUGCGUCAUUGUAAAGCAAUUCCGAUAUGCCAGCUUGAAACUAUUUCCGCGCCGUGUUUCCUCUGAAAACACUACAGUCCCAUAAAGAGCGCAAAUGAUAGCACACCUAGUGUACAGAUGUAUCGCAUACGCGCACGAGGAACACACGUUUCCUCGAGCGGUUUCCCUAAUGUAGAUUAUCGCUCGAGUUAGUGGAAUUGUGUAACACCAGUUUUCCCUAUAAAUGGCAAUUGCAAUGUCUCGACAAACAAGUAAUCGCCGCGUCUCGACGAGAGCAUCGACGAAUUUGUGCACGAAUUUUAUCUUUCGUCAUUUUACAACGGUAAUAAAUCGUUAAACGUGGACUUUGUCGCGCCGUAUCGAAUGCCGUACACAGAUCACGAAGUCGGCACGGUGGACAAUGUCGUGAGGCGAAUCUCGCGCGAGAGCUAUUCUCAUGCUCACGGUAUUCACUUUCACCUGAGAGACGUCACCAGGACCGUCGCGAAUUAAUCUGCAUCCAACAUGCUCGCUGAGAACUUCCUUAUAGGUAUACAUUAAGCCAUUUUGCAAUUUCAACAGUUUCGCUGACAGUGAAUCGGGAACCAAAUAAGGACACUAUGAGACGUUGAAUAUUGCUAUCGUACAUCAGUACGAGUGACGGGCAAUACAUCUUCAGCGUAAUGAGAAUUCCUCCUGACUAUUCUAAACUUUAUUCUGUCAAGCAAAAAAUUGUUUGCAGCGAUGCAGUCGUGGUAGCCCGUGAUUUAUCACUCGCGCGCGUAAAUAUGUGUGUGUGUGUGUGUGUGUGUUACUGAAUUGGAAUUUAUAAAUUAGUAGAUUCAUAAUGUUUGCAAAUGUUUGCAAUUUAUUUAUUAUUAUUAAAUAUAUUAUCCUAUAAAACGAUUAAAUUUAACAAAUUAGAUAUAUAUAUUUUUUUAAUAUAAAAAUGAAUCACUACGUGACGAUAUAUGUAAUAUAAAUCUAUAUGUAUAUAUGAUAUAUAAUAUGCAAUUUCUAAUAAAAAUAAACGAAACAGGAGCUGCGAAAAAUAUUUCGCGAUAUAACGAUGAA